UUUAAGUUCUACAGCAGUGGUUCUUAAACUUUCUGGGGUUUUAAACAAUGCUUGGAUCUUGG
rnacentral:pre_miRNA from 1 species